rnacentral:misc_RNA from 1 species
GAUGAAGAACGUAGCGAAUUGCGAUAUGUAAUGUGAAUUGCAGAUUUUCAGUGAAUCAUCGAAUCUUUGAACGCACCUUGCGCUCCUUGGUAUUCCGAGGAGCAUGCCUGUUUGAGUGUCAUUAAAUUCUCAACCGCACUGACUUUGAAUUGGUGUGGCUUGGAUUUGGGGGGAAAAUUGUUGUGGGCUUUUUUGUAUAGUCUGCUCCCCUGAAAUUGAUUAGCGGUACCUUUGUGGAACUGUCUACAGGUGUGAUAAUUAUCUACAUCCUAGACAUCUGCUGGAAUGCUGCUUUCUAAACCUUACUUGUAUUGACAAUCUUGACCUCAAAUCAGGUAGGACUACCCGCUGAACUUAAGCAUAUCAAUAAGCGGAGGA